ACUCCUACGGGUGGCAGCAGCAGGGAAUCUUGCGCAAUGGGCGAAAGCCUGACGCAGCGACGCCGCGUGGGGGAUGAAGGCUCUAGGGUUGUAAACCCCUUUUGCUGGGGAAGAAGAUCUGACGGUACCCAGCGAAUAAGGCCCGGCCAACUACGUGCCAGCAGCCGCGGUAAAACGUAGGGGCCAAGCGUUGUCCGGAAUUAUUGGGCGUAAAGUGCGCGUAGGCGGUUGGAUAAGUCUCUUGUGAAAGCUCCCGGCUCAACUGGGAGAGGUCAAGGGAUACUAUUCGACUAGAGGACAGCAGAGGUAAGCAGAAUUCCCGGUGUAGCGGUGGAAUGCGUAGAUAUCGGGAGGAACACCAGUGGCGAAAGCGGCUUACUGGGCUGUAUCUGACGCUGAGGCGCGAGAGCGUGGGGAGCAAACUGGAUUAGAUACCCAGGUAGUCCACGCCCUAAACGAUGGAUACUAGGUAUGGGGGGUAUUGACCCCCUCCGUGCCGUAGCUAACGCGUUAAGUAUCCCGCCUGGGGACUACGGCCGCAAGGCUAAAACUCAAAGGAAUUGACGGGGGCCCGCACAAGCGGUGGAGCGUGUGGUUUAAUUCGAUGCUAAGCGAAGAACCUUACCAGGGCUUGACAUGUUGGUAGUAGAAACCCGAAAGGGUGACGAUUCGGGGGUAACUCCGGAAGCCAUCACAGGUGCUGCAUGGCUGUCGUCAGCUCGUGUCGUGAGAU
rnacentral:rRNA from 1 species